rnacentral:rRNA from 1 species
AUGGACCCGCGGCGUAUUAGCUAGUUGGUGAGGUAACGGCUCACCAAGGCAAUGAUACGUAGCCGAACUGAGAGGUUGAUCGGCCACAUUGGGACUGAGACACGGCCCAAACUCCUACGGGAGGCAGCAGUAGGGAAUCUUCCACAAUGGACGCAAGUCUGAUGGAGCAACGCCGCGUGAGUGAAGAAGGCUUUCGGGUCGUAAAACUCUGUUGUUGGAGAAGAAUGGUCGGCAGAGUAACUGUUGUCGGCGUGACGGUAUCCAACCAGAAAGCCACGGCUAACUACGUGCCAGCAGCCGCGGUAAUACGUAGGUGGCAAGCGUUAUCCGGAUUUAUUGGGCGUAAAGCGAGCGCAGGCGGUUUUUUAAGUCUGAUGUGAAAGCCCUCGGCUUAACCGAGGAAGUGCAUCGGAAACUGGGAAACUUGAGUGCAGAAGAGGACAGUGGAACUCCAUGUGUAGCGGUGAAAUGCGUAGAUAUAUGGAAGAACACCAGUGGCGAAGGCGGCUGUCUGGUCUGUAACUGACGCUGAGG